CUGAUUCUUCAUGUCUUAUAUUAAGGAUUUGUAGAGUAUACAAAUCCUUGAUUAUAACAAAGGCAUAUAAUACUCAGUGUACCACUUCUGAACUUUUUUGUAAUUAUUAUCUCUACUUAAUUCCCCAUUCUUGAUUCCAGACCGGGUUCCGGACUAACUCUCAUAUACGUAAAUGAUCGUAAAUGUACGAAAGCUUGACACGUCGAAUACGAAAACCCGGAAAUAUUUUCUCCGUUGCUGUUUUUUAUACUCUGACGCAAAAUCCAUGGACGCUCGUCUGCUGCUGAAUUCAUGUUUUACAGUUUAACAAGGAUUUGUAUAGUGUCACUGUACAAAUCCUUGAGUUUAAAGAAUGGAAAGAUAUAUUAUAGUCAGAUAGAUAAUACAAAGAACUCUGGUUUUUCAAAAACCGAUGGGUCAAAAAGUUAUUAGUAUGAACAGAUAAAUUGAAAUGGGUUGCUUGUCGAUUAACUGGAAGAAACCGGGGAACGAAAGAAAGUUGUGUUUCUCUUAACGGAUUACGUACCCAAUAUUUUGUACUUGGAAAGCGCAACGAAAGCUGACUCAAAAUCAUGCAUGAUGAUGCUGUUUGGGCCCCCUGGUUGUACAUAGGAAGUGGACUCCUCGAGAAGAUGAAAGGUCUGCUUUACAUCAUUUUCAAUGAAAGUACAAGUACUUUGAGAAGUAGGAGAAGCUAAGCAACAGAACAGAAUUCAUUUGGGUCAUUGAUGUCUAGAUUAUAUAGUGGAUUCAUAGAUUGUCAUAUUGAUUUAUGUGCAUAUGAGCACAGAGGAGCAGUAGUCAAUGAAUAAUUUUGUGAUGAGAGCUUGUAACCAAAUGAAAGGAAAGUACAGUAUUGACAAUGAUUGAUAUCACUGGUGAACAUGUAUGUCAUGUAGGUGUGAAUGUCCUGCAAAAAAGAACUGAUAUCAAAUUACCAUUCACAGUGAACAUGGUGAAGAAUAACCAAUACCAUGAAUACAAGACAUAGAAGACUACCUCACAAAUAUGGGAAUUUUACAAAAAAUACAACAUUUAAAUUUACAAAGAAGACAUUUAUUUUGACAUUCAUGGACUUUGAAAGUAAAGAAAUUAGAAUGUGAAUAAAAAUCCUUGGAAAUAAAAUUUUGAACUUUGAAGGAGAUUGAAGAUUAUGUUUGUUCUAAGAAAGUUUUAAGAAAACAGAUACAUUCAAAACUGUAAAAAGGAAACAA